rnacentral:rRNA from 1 species
CACGUAGGGUGCGAGCGUUGUCCGGAAUUAUUGGGCGUAAAGAGCGUGUAGGCGGUCCGGUAAGUCCGCUGUGAAAGUCGGGGGCUCAACCCUCGAAUGCCGGUGGAUACUGUCGGGCUAGAGUGCGGAAGAGGCGAGUGGAAUUCCUGGUGUAGCGGUGAAAUGCGCAGAUAUCAGGAGGAACACCUAUGGCGAAGGCAGCUCGCUGGGACGUAACUGACGCUGAGGCGCGAAAGCGUGGGGAGCAAACAGG